AAGGGGGAUUUUUUUUUUCCUUGAAAAAAUUAAGAACCCUGCUGUUUACUUAAUUCAUACAAACUCAAAUUAUUUUAAAAUGAAUGUAAUUGAUGUAACGCAUUUAAUACUAAGUUUCAACAACGGAUUUUUUGGCUCUCGCAUCGAUGAAGAACGCAGCGAAAUGCGAUAAGUAAUGUGAAUUGCAGAAUUCAGUGAAUCAUUGAAUCUUUGAACGCCCCUUGCGCUCCUUGGUAUUCCUUGGAGCAUGCCUGUUUGAGUAUCAUGAAAUUUUCAAAGUAAAUUUUUUGUUAAUUCAAUUGGUUUUUACUUUGGUNUUGGAGGUUUUUUGCAGCUUCACAUCUGCUCCUCUUUGUGCAUUAGCUGGAUCUCAGUGUUAUGCUUGGUUCCACUCAGCGUGAUAAGUUAUCUAUCGCUGAGGACACUGUAAAAGGUGGCCAAGGUAAAUGCAGAUGAACCGCUUCUAACAGUCCAUUUAAUUGGACAAUAUUAUUUAUGAUCUGAUCUCAAAUCAGGUAUG
rnacentral:rRNA from 1 species